rnacentral:rRNA from 1 species
GACGAACGUUGGCGGCGUGCUUAACACAUGCAAGUCGAACGGUGAAGCGAGUGCUUGCACGCGUGGUUCAUUGGCGAACGGGUGAGUAACACGUGAGUAACCUGCCCAUCACUCUGGGAUAAGCACUGGAAACGGUGUCUAAUACUGGAUACGACCUACCCCUGCAUGGGGUGUUGGUGGAAUGAUUUAUCGGUGGUGGAUGGACUGGCGGUCUACCAGCUUGUUGGCGGGGUAAUGGCCCACCAAGGCGACGACGGGUACCCGGCCUGAGAGGGUGACCGGCCACACUGGGACUGAGACACGGCCGAGACUGCUACGGGAGGCAGAAGUGGGGAAUAUUGCACAAUGGGCGAAAGCUUGAUGCAGCAACGCCGCGUGAGGGAUGACGGCCUUCGGGUUGUAAACCGCGUUCGGCAGGGAAGAAGCGAAAGUGACGGGAGCUGAAGAAGAAGCACGCGGUAAAUACGUG